UACAGAGGUCCCAAGCGUUGUUCGGAUUCGCUGGGCGUAAAGGGUGCGUAGGCGGUCGGGUAAGUCUGGCGUGAAAUCUCCAAGCCUAACUUGGAAACUGCGUUGGAUACUAUCCGGCUCGAGGAAUGGAGGGGAGACUGGAAUACUUGGUGUAGCAGUGAAAUGCGUAGAUAUCAAGUGGAACACCAGUGGCGAAGGCGAGUCUCUGGACAUUUCCUGACGCUGAGGCACGAAAGCCAGGGGAGCAAACGGG
rnacentral:rRNA from 1 species